rnacentral:lncRNA from 1 species
GCUAAGACUUUCCUUAGGUCACAGAGCUGGAUGGAACAGGCCACAAUGGAACCUGCAGUCUUUUUUUUUUUUCAGAUUUUAUUUUACAUAUAUGAGUAUGUAUUUUAUUUUAUUCAUAUGAGUACACUGUAGCUGUCUUCAGACAAACCAGAAGAGGGCAUCAGAUCCCAUUACAGAUGGUUGUGAGCCACCAUGUGGUUGCUGGGAAUUGAACUCCGGACCCUUGGAAGAGCAGUCAGUGCUCUUAACCACUGAGCCAUCUCUCCAGCCCAAUAGCCUGCCAUCUUUUAACACGGCCACCACUUUUCUGACCUUCCUUCUACUUUCUAAUUCACAUGACCCACUUAUCCCAACCAUGAAAGCUCAUCUCUUUCAGCAACACUCAGUAAAGCCAGUGGCUUCUAUCUUACAUCCCAACCCAGUUCAUAACCUCUUUUCUUCUUCUCCUUUAAGCUGGUAAUUCUAUCAAACACUGAUCAUUCUUUUACUGUAAACUGCUUUAAUUUCUAGAAUUUGAAGCUUGUAAGUGCGUUCUUCGUCUUGCCUGUGAUUCACCCUUUCCCCAGACCUUGUCUGGAUGUUAGGACACAGUGUUUGGGAGUCCAGCUUUUCCAGGUGACUUCCAAAGAGCCAGGCCUCCAAUGCUAAAGCAGAUUUUCUAACACUGCAGUUUUGUGGCCCUAAUUGUAGUAAAGGAAUCCAGUGGGAUCACUCAGCACAUGAGUUCUUCAUGAACUCAGUCUGGUGGAGCCCAGGAAUGGUUUGCUGGUAGUAAGAUUCAGGGGCCUCGAUCUGUUGUAUCUCUAAAAGCCCUGGUAAGAGCAUCACUGGGCAGAAAAAACAGCAUUCUCUUGAGUAUUUGGAGAGAUUCUUCUGAUCUGGUUCGAGGUGGUAGGAGAAGCCUUAGCCACCAAGGAGUCUGAAGCCAGCACAAACAGUGGCCAGUUUGGUUGACGGGUUAGAGGGAUUUGUGUAGUGCGUUAUCAGUAGCAGCCCAGCAAGCAGAAUACAGGAGGAAGCGGGUAGCUGGUAUUCACGUGUGUGAGAGAGGAUGCAUGUCGCUUAGCUGUGACAGGGCAGCAGCUCCCUCAGCAGCCCUUUGUUCCCACCAAGCAUCCAUCUGCCCUUUCCCUUGUUCUUACACUGUCUUUGCCUUUCCUCUUUCCCCACUUCUGGGUCUUGCUUCUCUUUUCUCCUUUGCUUCUGAAGCCAGGAUGUGAACAGAGAAGAAUGGCUUCGGUAUACGUAUACUGACACUCUCCGUGUAGUGCUGACCUUAGCUUAAAUACGUAUAGAAUUUUAGGAGUCCUCUGUCUACCCCCAUUGUGUCUUGUAUUUGCAGUUCAAAGGCCUUAAGAAUGGAAGAAAACGUGGCCAGGCUUGCAAUCCUGUUGUGGGCUUUGAAGUUUUAAAAGUAUUUCUUAUUCAUCCAUUCUGGUCUUAAUGGCAUUGGAACUUUUUAUAAACAGUUUAUUUUGUUGUUGGUAUUUUUUUCUUCUUAACUAGGAAACACAUUUAACAAAGUGGCCGAGUGGGUGAAGCAGGACAAUGAAACUGGGAUUUAUUAUGAGACAUGGACGGUCCGAGCCGGCCCAGGACAAGGGGCCCAGACGUGGUUCGAGUCCUACGACUGUUCGAAUUUUGUCUUAAGGACAUAUAAGAAAUUGGCUGAAUUUGGAACAGAAUUCAAGAAGAUAGAAACAAACUAUACGAAAAUAUUUCUUUACAGUGGAGAGCCUAUUUACCUGGGAAAUGAAACAUCUAUUUUUGGGCCCAAAGGAAACAAGACUCUUGCUUUGGCCAUAAAAAAAUUUUAUGGCCCCUUCAGACCGUAUUUGUCAACCAAAGAUUUUCUGAUGAAUUUCUUGAAAAUUUUUGAUACAGUGAUUAUACACAGACAGUUCUACUUGUUUUAUAACUUUGAGUAUUGGUUUCUACCAAUGAAACCCCCCUUUGUCAAAAUAACAUACGAAGAAACCCCGUUACCUACCCGACAUACAACAUUUACCGACUUGUGACAACUUCCACUCUGCUGCUCUCCAGACAGCAGCAUCCAUGUUCUUCCAGGGCUGUGUCUACAGUGGUGUCUUUAUUCACCUUCCCUCCCUGGGGCUCACUGUUGGAAGUGCAGUAUCUGGACAUUUCAAGACUCUUGCAGAGUAGCAGAAACCGUAAUUGUACUGGCCAAAGUGAAUGGGUUGUAAUCGUUAUUUGAGAAUUACUCCAUCUCAGCUAUGGAGAGCCUUUGAUCCCAAGGUAGCAUUUUUCUCGGGCUACUUUUUCUGUUACAGUAGUGCUGUUUCGUAGUUUAAGGGUUUUUUUUUGGGGGGGGGGUCAUCUAAAGAAUUGCUGUUUUUAUAGUUAUUACCGCCUUAGGUUCCAGGUCUAUUUUCUAUUCACAAGGUUUUAAAACCUUGUUUGGACUCUGUUACUGGAAUAGUGCCUCUAGCCAUGGCAAAUACAGAAAAAUUUUUGGCUAGCUGGCUGUUGUGACAGAAGCAAUUUAACAUCUCUAGAUUUAUGUCCUUACCUCUAAAGUGAUUCAUCUACCAGGAGUAUGUAGAUUGGGGGCACCUAUGUAGGCACAGGAAGGCACACGGAGUGCAUAUACGGUGUCCACUGGGACUAAAAGAACACAAACUGCCAUCCUUGAAUUUGCCUGACGUACGUACAGGCCAUCCAUUCCUGGGUAAUUGCUGAGACUUUGAGCUGGCACAGUACACAUUGCUUCUUUAGUACAGGCCAUGGAAGCUUCUGGCUCCAGACAUGGCUAGGUGAAGUGUCCUUCUGACUUCCUGUGCAUGUCCUCUGGUUUCUCUCCCACCAUCAUCAGAGAGAGCACACUUUCCUGGAAAGGACAGAAGUUUGUCAAGGGCCUUUGUUAGCUUGCUAUGUUGCUUUUAGGGGCAUUAGACAGGCUAUCAAGCUCCUGUAUUUUGAUCAGUUGAACUCAUUUUGUUUUCCUAUCUAACACUAGCAUAAUAAUGGAAAAGUCUUUUAAUAUAGAAACAUGCCAGUUAUUAAUUUCCUAAUUUACUAAUAGCUGGCUGCUUCUUGAGACAUCAGUACACUACUGUGUCUUAAGAAGUCUCAUCUACGUAUCUGCUGGCCCAGAUGUCAGGGCUUAGCAAGAUAAAGUGACCUGGAAUUAGGUUCUCACUCAGGAUACACUGGAGGCUUUCCAGCACUCUUCAGAUUGUGGCCUUUAGACCGGUAUCUGUGCACCAAAUGUUACCAGUCUGUGUUAUUGUUCAGUCUAAUAAAAAACAU